ACCAGGAUGGCCGAGUAGUUAAGGCGUUGGACUUAAGAUCCAAUGGAUAUAUAUAUCUUCGUGGGUUCAAACCCCACUCCUGGUA